AGAGUUUGAUUAUGGCUCAGAACGAACGCUGGCGGCGUGGCUAAGACAUGCAAGUCGUACGAUAGGUUGUAGCAAUAUGGCCUAUAGUGGCGGACGGGUGAGUACAAAAUAGGUAACGUGCCCCGGGCACAGGGAUAGCGUCGGAAGCUUGCUUCCUUUGCGAAAGUGACGGUAAUACCUGGUAAUGUCAUCGGAAGGCAUCUUUUGAUGACCAUAUGGUGGGGACCUUCGGGCCUACCGGCCUGGGAGCGGCCUAUUUCCUAUCAGCUAGUUGGUGAGGUAACGGCUCACCAAGGCAACGACGGGUAGCCGGACUGAGAGGUUGGACGGCCACAUCGGGACUGAGACACUGCCCGGACAUCUACGGAUGGCUGCAGUAACGAAUAUUCCGCAAUGGGCGAAAGCCUGACGGAGCGACGCCGCGUGGAGGACGAAGGCCCUUGGGUUGUAAACUCCUUUUAGGGUUGGGAAAGCAAUGGGCGCUAAUAUCGCCCGGCGUUGAUCUAGCCCAGAAAAAGCCUCGGCUAAUCCCGUGCCAGCAGCCGCGGUAAUACGGGAGAGGCAAGCGUUGUUCGGAAUCACUGGGCUUAAAGCGCGUGUAGGCGGCUCGGUAAGUACUUUGUGAAAUCUCCCCUCUCAAUGGGGAAAUUGCUUGGUAUACUGCCGAGCUUGAGGUAGGUAGGGGUGCCUGGAACUCUAGGUGGAGCGGUGAAAUGCGUAGAUAUCUAGAGGAACGCCCGUGGCGAAAGCGGGGCACUGGGCCUGUCCUGACGCUGAGACGCGAAAGCGUGGGUAGCAAACGGGAUUAGAUACCCCGGUAGUCCACGCCGUAAACGAUGCGCACUAGGUUUGCAUGACUCUGACGUCCUGCGAGCCGAAACAAAAGCGUUAAGUGCGCCGCCUGGGGAGUACGG
rnacentral:rRNA from 1 species